GGACUACAGGGGUAUCUAAUCCUGUUUGCUCCCCACGCUUUCGUGCAUGAGCGUCAGUACAGGUCCAGGGGAUUGCCUUCGCCAUCGGUGUUCCUCCGCAUAUCUACGCAUUUCACUGCUACACGCGGAAUUCCAUCCCCCUCUACCGUACUCUAGCCAUGCAGUCACAAAUGCAGUUCCCAGGUUGAGCCCGGGGAUUUCACAUCUGUCUUACAUAACCGCCUGCGCACGCUUUACGCCCAGUAAUUCCGAUUAACGCUCGCACCCUACGUAUUACCGCGGCUGCUGGCACGUAGUUGGCCGGUGCUUCUUCUGCAGGUACCGUCACUCUCGCUUCGUCCCUGCUGAAAGAGGUUUACAACCCGAAGGCCGUCAUCCCUCACGCGGCGUCGCUGCAUCA
rnacentral:misc_RNA from 1 species